UACGAGGGGGGCGAGCGUUGUUCGGAAUUAUUGGGCGUAAAGGGCGCGUAGGCGGUGCGGUAAGUCUGUAGUGAAAUCUCUGGGCUCAACUCAGAGUCUGCUGCAGAAACUGCCGUGCUUGAGUGUGGGAGAGGUGAGUGGAAUUCCCGGUGUAGCGGUGAAAUGCGUAGAAAUCGGGAGGAACACCUGUGGCGAAAGCGGCUCACUGGACCACAACUGACGCUGAGGCGCGAAAGCGUGGGGAGCAAACAGG
rnacentral:rRNA from 1 species